UACCCUACGGGACGCAGCAGUGAGGAAUAUUGGUCAAUGGGAGAGAUCCUGAACCAGCCAAGCCGCGUGAGGGAAGACGGCCCUAUGGGUUGUAAACCUCUUUUGUCGGAGAACAAAACCCGGGACGAGUCCCGGACUGCGUGUAUCCGAAGAAAAAGCAUCGGCUAACUCCGUGCCAGCAGCCGCGGUAAUACGGAGGAUGCGAGCGUUAUCCGGAUUUAUUGGGUUUAAAGGGUGCGCAGGCGGCGAGUUAAGUCAGCGGUAAAAUUUCGGGGCUCAACCCCGCCGAGCCGUUGAAACUGGCU
rnacentral:rRNA from 1 species